UACAGAGACUGCAAGCGUUAUUCGGAUUCACUGGGCGUAAAGGGUGCGCAGGCGGUUGGGUGUGUCAGAUGUGAAAUCCCGACGGCUUAACCUCGGAACUGCGUCUGAAACUACUCGACUAGAGUACUGGAGAGGGAAACGGAAUUCACGGUGUAGCAGUGAAAUGCGUAGAUAUCGUGAGGAACACCAGAGGCGAAGGCGGUUUCCUGGACAGUUACUGACGCUCAGGCACGAAAGCAUGGGGAGCAAAAGGG
rnacentral:rRNA from 1 species